ensembl:lncRNA
AACAAGACUGGCCUACCAUGAAAACAGAGGUUGUUAGAGUGAAUUUAACUAUAUAUUGUUUUUUCCCUUUCAUAGGUCACUUCGAUGCUGCGGUGACGUCACCGUAUGGGAACACCUUCGGUGUGACGAAUGUCUGAAGCCCUAUACCAUCUCGCCAAUCCUAUUGGCCAAAUAGCGCUUGGCACCGCCCUACGCAUGCGUACGCAUCGUAUACCCGGGCGCCGCGCGCUAUUUCGCUCAGAUUUCAUUUCCUUCAGGAAAGAGAAUCAUCUGUGCCCUGGAAUCAUCUCGCGUUCAUAGCGGUUUUCUCGAGCAGUGUUAACUCCUCUUCGCGGACGCGAUGAGCUUUCGAAAGUGCAAGGAACCGUGUACCAGGUUCAUCACUAAGGGAGACACUCACGAAAGGUGCGUAGUCUGUUUGGGAUUACAUCACGCGCAGUCUGCGCUUAGUGGCCUUUCCUCUUGUCCCCACUGUGAUGGCCUGCGACUUAAAGUACUGCGCUCGAGGGUAGAAGUGUUUUCCAAGGUCGCCCCCGCGUCUAACCCCCGCCGUGUCGCUUCUGCGGCUGCCGAGGCACCGCACGAGGCGAUGGCUUGGGGAGACAUGUGCGACCUCACUUACGACGACAGCGCGGCGCUGGAGUUUUCUCCACAUCGCUCGCUCUCCCCUACCCGAGUGCAGGAUGCCACCUUCGUCGAACCCGUUGUGUUCUCGGACGGGGGUUUACAGCCCACCCCGGAGGCAUACGAUGCUAUCUCCUUCGGUUGUGGGCAGUUCGACGACGACGUCUUAUCCACCGCGGCUUCGGAGUCUGAGGACUUCGUGGCAGAUACGAACGAGAUGCUGCGGUCCCGGCCGUUCCAUACCUGAUAGCGUUCUUCUCUUCAGUUCAUGAAAUCUGAGCGAAAUAGCGCGCGGCGCCCGGGUAUACGAUGCGUACGCAUGCGUAGGGCGGUGCCAAGCGCUAUUUGGCCAAUAGGAUUGGCGAGAUGGUAUAGGGCUUCAGACAUUCGUCACACCGAAGGUGUUCCCAUACGGUGACGUCACCGCAGCAUCUCGUUCCCUAUUCAGGGAACUGUGGUUACAUACGUAACCGAGAUGAAUUGUGUAUAACUUCCAAAUUUCCUG